GAACGCUGGCGGCGUGCUUACACUGCAGGUUAACGAUGAAAGCUGGAGCUUGCUCUAGCUGGAUUAGUGGCGAACGGGUGAGUAACACGUGAGCAAUCUGCCCUGGACUCUGGGAUAACCCCGAGAAAUCGGAGCUAAUACCGGAUACGACACCUCCCGGCAUCGGGUGGGUGUGGAAAGAAUUUCGGUCCAGGAUGAGCUCGCGGCCUAUCAGCUUGUUGGUGAGGUAACGGCUCACCAAGGCGACGACGGGUAGCCGGCCUGAGAGGGUGACCGGCCACACUGGGACUGAGACACGGCCCAGACUCCUACGGGAGGCAGCAGUGGGGAAUAUUGCACAAUGGGCGCAAGCCUGAUGCAGCAACGCCGCGUGGGGGACGACGGCCUUCGGGUUGUAAACCUCUUUUAGUAGGGAAGAAGCGCAAGUGACGGUACCUACAGAAAAAGCACCAGCUAACUACGUGCCAGCAGCCGCGGUAAUACGUAGGGUGCAAGCGUUGUCCGGAAUUAUUGGGCGUAAAGAGCUCGUAGCGGUUUGUCGCGUCUGCUGUGAAAAUCCGAGGCUCAACCUCGGACCUGCAGUGGGUACGGGCAAACUAGAGUGCGGUAGGGAGAUUGGAAUUCCCUGGUUGUAGCGGGUGGGAAUGCGCAAGAAUAUCACGGAGGAAACCACCAAUUGGCGAAAAGGCAGAAUCUCUUGGGCCGGUAACUGACGGCUUCAAAGAGCGAAAAGCGUUGGGGAGACGAACCAGGAUAAGAUACCCUGGUUAGUCAAGCCGUAAAACGUGGGACACUAAGAUCUGGGGGUCGUCCACGGAUUACCGGUCAGACACUUACGCAUUAAGUCCCGGCCGGGAGU
rnacentral:rRNA from 1 species